UAGAAUUUGGCCUUCGGACAAGCUACAUAAAUAAAGUAGUAAGCCAGAAGCAAACAUCAGUAUCUUUCAAAACAAAUGAGAGAGAUGACGAAACUUUCAUCUUUCUUUAUCCUGAUGAGUAGCACAAAAACCAUGUCAUGCUACAAUUGAAAUGAGAAUGGAUGCUUCCACACAUAGUUUCUUAAGAACAUUCUUGUACAAAGAUGAGUGUUUUUGCAUUCUCAUAGAAAGAGAUAAUAUCAGAAAAAUGAAAUGGAAGUUGAAGAAUAAAGAUAGAGAACUUUUUUUGCAUAAAGAGUGCUAG
rnacentral:misc_RNA from 1 species